GAUGAAGAACGUAGCGAAAUGCGAUACGUAGUGUGAAUUGGAGAAUUCAGUGAAUCAUCGAAUCUUUGAACGCACAUUGCACCUCUCGGUAUUCCGGGAGGUAUGCCUGUUCGAGCGUCAUUUGUACCCUCAAGCUCUGCUUGGUGUUGGGUGUUUGUUCCGCCUCUGUGUGUGAACUCGCCUCAAAACAAUUGGCAGCCGGCGUACUUGUUUCGGAGCGCAGCACAUUUUGCGAUCCAGAUCAACGUACAGCGGCAUCCAAGAAGCCUUAUUUAACGCUCUUGACCUCGGAUCAGGUAGGGAUACCCGCUGAACUUAAGCAUAUCAAUAAGCGGAGGA
rnacentral:misc_RNA from 1 species